UGUAAAUCCAAACUUCUGUAUGAGAAUGUGCAGGCCUUUGUUUCUUCUGCUGACCCUGGUCAGGUUCCUGAAGCUAGUAAGAGGUUGGUUUAUUAAUCUGUGCCUAACAGCACCUAGCACAUACUCAGUGUUUAGUAACUGUUUGUGGACAAAAUGAAUGAGUAGAUGAAUGAGGGUUUAUCUGUAUUGUUUCACUAAUUUCACUAGAUGUUGCUGACUCGGGGCCCCUCAUUGACGGAGAAAUAUUGGAGGCUUACUCUCCAGGGGCUUUGGGGUUGGCCAGAUAUUGCAGGUUUUCAUGACCAGAGGGGUGGACUCAUCAGAUGGGAGAGGGCACUAGGGUGCAGAAUGCAUUCGUGUCUGGGGACCACUCGGAGAGGCUGCAAUCCGCAAGUAAUGAAAAGCAGCAUUUGCAUCCCGCGACAGCAGGUGCUUGGGUCACCGGGUUCUAGUGGGGCAGGUGAGUGGGGAGGCCGGUCGCCAGGCCUGGCUGCACACAGAUCAAGGGGAGACCUCUUUCCCCACUUCCUCUCACUAGGGGUCCCCGGCCAGAAGGUCCCCCUCCUAGAGAGCAGAUGAACCCCGGCUACCACUCCCCCACCCCCCAAGCAGGUACCCCAUUCAUCCAUCACAGCACCAGAGGACGGUGGAUGUCCUCUGUCCACAGGCCGGGGAAGGAUGGCUAGCCGGAAGCUGAAGCUUAUUUUCAAAUCCAGGGCAAGCCAGCCUAUGUGUGGGGCCCAGUUUUUCCCGGAUCUGGAGUUGAUCUCAGCCGCGGGGGCCCGGAGGGAGGACUCUGCCCUGUGUGUGGCCAGGGGGCUGGGCCCUUGGGACACUUUGGGGCAGGGACUCCCCACCACAGGCCCUCCAGCCAGGCUCCCACGCUGCCUCCAUUUCGGCCUCACCGUCCCUGUCCCCGUCCUCGUCCUCGUGCAGCUCUAGCACGCCCCCAGUGUCAGACAGCUCAGGGGCUGGCCUCUAGUGCAAACCACAGCCAGACAGCACAGGCUGAGGCCACACCUACACACGGCAGGACCCUGGGUCGGGGAUGUGGCAGGUCAAGGCAUACCCGCCCCUCUGCCCAGGAGUGGGGGGACGGUUCAUGGAGCAGACAUUCUUCAGGUGCUGCUCACCCAGCUCCAAAAGGACAGGAACACCAGCCUGGUCACCAUGCUGCCCCCCUGUGCCCGGCAUCCAGGAGGCUCUCCAUAAAGAAGGCUUUUUGAGCAUCAGCGCCUGAGAAGAUCCCUAAGGGAAAUCUAGACCAGUGUUUUCCCAACUGAAAGAUGGGCGGGGGUGGGGGGGGGGCGGGGAGGGGGGAAGGGGAGGCGGGGGGGCGGGGAGAAGCAACCUUCUGAAUCACCUCAUUGGAGGCUGACAAUACAUAUUUACAUAUUCAUGCCUCUGAGUCCGUCUUGACCUAAAGAAAUCUGUUUUCCUUGUGUUUCCCAACAUAUUUGCCUGCCGGACAGUUUCUCAUGAAUUGCUAAUUCACACAGCAACCGAGGAAUCUUGUUGGAAACGCCGAUUGGGUGUAACCUCAUGCUACAGAAGAUGAAACAGGGCCCAGAGAAAGCAAGCAACUUGCCAGAGGUCACACAGCACACUGGUGGAGUCCCGACCUGCACUGAAAGUCCCCGGCUCUGCCCAGUGCUCCUCCCACUGGGGGCCAGCCUUUGCUGACAGUGCCAUUAGGCACCUGUACUCUCCUGAUUCUUCAGCCAGGCAGGGCAUAAAUGUUUUUUUGCAUGACCUAGAGAGCAAAGGCUAGUUUAGCAAAACAAAACAAACAAACAAACAAACAAACAAACAAACAAAAAACCCCCCAGAUAAUUCCAAGUGAAUCCCAAUUGCAGGAGCAAUGCUUCCCUUCUUGAGACUUUCUGGAACCACUUCAGCUUCAAAUGCGUGUGAUAAUUACCUAAGGUUCUUAUCUUCUCCUUAGAGCUAGUCCCUUCUGCUCUGGGCUUGGCAAUCCUGGAGGCCAUUUCCGGAGACUACGCGUCGUCUCGAUACCUCCGAAGGUCUUUCAAAAAUGCGUCUUAUCCAGAUGUCCCCCAGGGCUCUUGGGCUAUUUGAUAUCAAUGAAGAUUUUUGUUCCUCUGCCCCCCUUGGGUGCUAGGCAGGGGAGCUGGGGGUGCAGAGGUCAGCGAUUUGCUUGGGCAGUCAGAACUGCCCUGAUUUCCAGCAGCUGCGGCUGGAGCAGGAUCCGGGGGGAUUCCCUGGAGAAGGGGGUUUGUACACCCACCACCUCACUGGGUUCUCCGUUACUCCUUCCAGUUCCACGCUGGGUCACCUUGACCCUGCUCGUUGCCCACAGUGAGGGUGGAGGCCUAGAAUCGGGUGACUUGAGAGGCUGGAUGGCCCAGUCCGACCACAUCAUGUAAGAGGACAGAGGCCCAGAAAGCACAAGCAGUUGGUUCAAGGUCACAUAGUGAGUGCGAGUCCAUGGUCACUAAGAGGUUAACAUCUCAGAGGCAGAGAAUCUGGGAAUAUUUGAGCCUAGAAGCCUCCCAGCUCCAGUGCACCCAGCACCCAGCAAGGGGAAGCCGCUUGCCCAAACCAGUGCCCGGUGUUCCCACUCUCGGCCCAACAGCUACUUCCAUUAAUGGUGGGCCAAGGAGGGGAUGUCACACCCGCCCCUCUCCCUACCCUGACGCUUGGGCUACUGGCUACACAGCUGCAGAAGUGUUACUUUUGCACGGGAAGGUGUGUCGGGAGAUGCCAAGGCUGUCCUCACACCUGCUUGAGGCCUUGAGCAAGACAGCCUACAACCCUUAUCCCUCCCAGUGAUGCUGAUUUUAUGCCAACAGCCCAGACUGUCAUCCUGCCCUGCCUGGGGUCGUGGUGGCCAGGGUGCUGGUGACUGCCCCACUGGGUUCCUCCCCAGAGGGUGAUUCUAAAGCAGAACAGUCAGCCAAGCAGCAGACAGGACUUUAUAUGAAGUCUCCGGCCCCUUCCCGUCCCUUGGGGAUGGAUCACCGGGUUCCCGGAGCCUCAGAGCAGGACCCGUGUGGAGAGAGCCCCUCCUGGGAGAUUUUGCGGGGUAGCAGGAGGGCAGGGCAGGGCUCCGCAUCCAGGGUGCAGGCUGUGCGGGGGGCAGGGCAUCACAUGCUGUCGGGCCUGCCUCUUCUCUACGUGGAGGGCGUCCUGCUGGAGCCGCUCUCCCCCUCAGUCCCUGCUGGCUGAAGACCGGGCAUUUCUUGAGUCUUCGUGAGGCUGGGACGCGUGCCAGAGCCCACAGCCCUUCCACAGGUCAGUUUGCACCGCGGGGACCUCCAGAUCUCCCUGCAGGGGGGCGACAUCUGUGGGGGCUUUGUGCCAGGGCCCUGGGGCCCAAGGGACCACUUGGUGAAGAGACGUUAAGGCCUUGGAGAGCGGGGGUGUGCGGGUUCAGACUGAGGUCCCAAGCCGCUGGAUUUCCAGAGGAGUCUUCAGGGCAGAGACGGCUGGGUGCCAGCCCCCAGGGAAGCUGAGGCUGUGCCUGUCACCAGGGGGUGUUACAGGAGGGCCUGAGAGAGGGAAGCCCCCAGGGGCUCUCUGCUGUACAAUUCAAGGGUCCUUCAUCUCUGAAUAAAUUGCCCUCCCAGCUGAAGCGGCUGCCCCCAGAUGUGCUGCAGCCGGGUGCUGGUUCUGUUGCAAAGAGGCCCCCCAGGACCCCAGAAUGCAGCCGAGGCAGGGGCCGCUUGAGCCCCUCAGAGUAAGCAGCGUUCGCCUUGCACAAUUCCUGAAAGUGGGCAAAUUAUUUCAGGUGUUGCCUGGUUUCUCCAGCGGCUUUGCGACCAUGUCUCUUCUUUUUGGACUAUUUUUGCCCAGACUGAAGCUUAGUUUUAACAUCUCAGCUUGCAGGGUGUCUCCCCGACCCCCCCGGUCCUCCCCGCCUCCUCUUCUUAAACAGAGUCUGCGAACUAAAAUAUACUAAGGGCUUCCAAAGGCCCCCGAGUGACUCUGUAACAUGUUGGGAAGGGUGGCUCUCCAGUUGGUUUGUAAGUGGGGUUUCGGGGGGCCGGACCAUCAGGGUGGAGACGAGGCAGCAGGUGGAGGUGGUCUCCUGCGCCCAGACGCAAGCUCGCAGGUCUGGUUACUAGCAGUCUUGGGGUUUGCUCAUCCACCCUUUUAUUUGAGGGGGGCUUUACCCACGGGACCCUCCUCCAGAGAGAACUUGGGUCCAAACUGUAUGUUCUCUCUCCCCGCCCCUCGGCCGCCUGGACGUCCUGCUGAGAGGAACCUUUGGAGCUUCUAGAGAUCUAGUCCAACUCCUUCACCUCACGCACUAAUUUUACAGGUGGGGAGACUGAGGGCCAGACGGGGGGGUAAGGGCUGGCCUAAAAUUGCACAGCUAGGUGGUAGCAAAGUUGGGAUUGAACUCAGGCCUCCUGACUGCCAGUCCAGGGCUCUUUCUAGCAACCAGUAUAUUGGCUACUGCUUCCAAAGCUCCCCCCGCCAGGCUGCAAUGUCCCCUC
rnacentral:lncRNA from 1 species